GAUGAACGCUGGCGGCGUGCCUAAUACAUGCAAGUCGAGCGAACAGACGAGGAGCUUGCUCCUCUGACGUUAGCGGCGGACGGGUGAGUAACACGUGGAUAACCUACCUAUAAGACUGGGAUAACUUCGGGAAACCGGAGCUAAUACAGGAUAAUAUAUUUAACCGCAUGGUUCAAUAGUGAAAGACGGUUUUGCUGUCACUUAUAGAUGGAUCCGCGCCGCAUUAGCUAGUUGGUAAGGUAACGGCUUACCAAGGCAACGAUGCGUAGCCGACCUGAGAGGGUGAUCGGCCACACUGGAACUGAGACACGGUCCAGACUCCUACGGGAGGCAGCAGUAGGGAAUCUUCCGCAAUGGGCGAAAGCCUGACGGAGCAACGCCGCGUGAGUGAUGAAGGUCUUCGGAUCGUAAAACUCUGUUAUUAGGGAAGAACAAAUGUGUAAGUAACUAUGCACGUCUUGACGGUACCUAAUCAGAAAGCCACGGCUAACUACGUG
rnacentral:rRNA from 1 species